UCCCGAAUCAGCCACUUUCUUACUGGAGACAGCGGCUUCACAAUGUUAUAGGUCGCAGACCAGUGGUCAGAGCACUUCUUCUGAUGAUCCCUGGCAAGGGAUCCCAGGCUCCGCGAUGGAAAGGCCCUGCUGGACCGC